rnacentral:rRNA from 1 species
AACACAAACCCCGGCGCUGAAUGCGUCAAGGAAUUUAAAAUUUGCUCUGAGCGCACCUGCAUGGCACCGGAGACGGUUUUCGUGCGGGUUGUGUUCUGACACAUAAUAUAGAAUGACUCUCGGCAACGGAUAUCUAGGCUCUUGCAUCGAUGAAGAACGUAGCGAAAUGCGAUACUUGGUGUGAAUUGCAGAAUCCCGUGAACCAUCGAGUCUUUGAACGCAAGUUGCGCCCGAUGCCAUUAGGUUGAGGGCACGUCUGCCUGGGCGUCACAUAUCGAAGCCUCUCGCCAAAUUCCUAUAUUGAUAGGGGUAUUGUGCAGGGCGAAUGUUGGCCUCCCGUGAGCUCUAUUGCCUCGUGGUUGGUUGAAAAUUGAGACCUUGGUAGGGUGUGCCAUGAUAGAUGGUGGCUGUGUUACGCACGAGACCAAGUAAAUCAUGUGCUGCUCUAUUGAAUUUAGGCCUCUUUUACCCACAUGCGUUUCGAAACGCUCGUGAUGAGACCUCAGGUCAGGCGGGGCUACCCGCUGAAUUUAAGCAUAUCAAUAAGCGGAGGAAAAGAAACUAACAAGGAUUCC